rnacentral:rRNA from 1 species
UCCUGGCUCAGGAUGAACGCUAGCGACAGGCUUAACACAUGCAAGUCGAGGGGCAGCGGGGGUGAUGGCUUGCCAUCACCUGCCGGCGACCGGCGCACGGGUGAGUAACACGUAUGCAACCUGCCCGCCACAGGGGGAUAAGCGGAAGAAAUUCCGUCUAAUACCGCGUGACGCGGCGUCGGGGCAUCCCGGUGCCGCCAAAGGGAUUACCGGUGGCGGAUGGGCAUGCGGCGCAUUAGCUAGUCGGCGGGGUAACGGCCCACCGAGGCGACGAUGCGUAGGGGUUCUGAGAGGAAGGUCCCCCACACUGGUACUGAGACACGGACCAGACUCCUACGGGAGGCAGCAGUGAGGAAUAUUGGUCAAUGGGCGGGAGCCUGAACCAGCCAAGUCGCGUGAGGGAUGACGGUCCUACGGAUUGCAAACCUCUUUUGCCGGGGAGCAAGCGUGCGUUCGUGAACGCGCGUCGAGAGUACCCGGAGAAAAAGCAUCGGCUAACUCCGUGCCAGCAGCCGCGGUAAUACGGAGGAUGCGAGCGUUAUCCGGAUUUAUUGGGUUUAAAGGGUGCGUAGGCGGGAUGCCAAGUCAGCGGUAAAAAUGCGGUGCUCAACGCCGUCGAGCCGUUGAAACUGGCGUUCUUGAGUGGGCGAGAAGUAUGCGGAAUGCGUGGUGUAGCGGUGAAAUGCAUAGAUAUCACGCAGAACUCCGAUUGCGAAGGCAGCAUACCGGCGCCCUACUGACGCUGAGGCACGAAAGCGUGGGUAUCGAACAGGAUUAGAUACCCUGGUAGUCCACGCAGUAAACGAUGAAUGCUAACUGUCCGGUGCGAGUGAGCGCUGGGCGGUACAGCGAAAGCGUUAAGCAUUCCACCUGGGGAGUACGCCGGCAACGGUGAAACUCAAAGGAAUUGACGGGGGCCCGCACAAGCGGAGGAACAUGUGGUUUAAUUCGAUGAUACGCGAGGAACCUUACCCGGGCUCAAACGCAGGAUGACGGGUCCCGAAAGGGGCCUUUCUUCGGACAUUCUGCGAGGUGCUGCAUGGUUGUCGUCAGCUCGUGCCGUGAGGUGUCGGCUUAAGUGCCAUAACGAGCGCAACCCCUGUCCACAGUUGCCAGCAGGUAAAGCUGGGGACUCUGUGGAGACUGCCGGCGCAAGCUGCGAGGAAGGCGGGGAUGACGUCAAAUCAGCACGGCCCUUACGUCCGGGGCGACACACGUGUUACAAUGGCAGGUACAGCGGGAUGCCACGGGGCGACCCGGCGCUGAACCCGAAAACCUGUCUCAGUUCGGAUUGGAGUCUGCAACCCGACUCCAUGAAGCUGGAUUCGCUAGUAAUCGCGCAUCAGCCACGGCGCGGCGAAUACGUUCCCGGGCCUUGCACUCACCGCCCGUCA